CUUACGACUGCAUUCCAGCAGCCCACGGCUCCCCUCCCACAUGCUUCAUUUUGCAUCCCAAGGUUCUGCAGGCCGGACGAUUCUUCAUCGUUUCAGGUACAAAUCAGUUUCUGGGCUUUUCCUCUGGCUGGAAUGAACUUCACAUCUGUGUCAUAGGUCAAACUGAACAGAGAGAACUGCUACAAAGAGCGACAAGGCCGGCUGAGCGCUCAAACAAGGAAGCCACAGAUGUGAGCAGAUGAAAUUGUUCCAAGGCACAGCCUACUUUCUGGUCCCGCGCUGGUGUCGUGACAGACCGGCCCUUUCUGGCUUCACUGGCUUGCUCAGGGCCUUAACCGCAACACAACAAAACCCUGGGAUGAGUGCAAC
rnacentral:lncRNA from 1 species